rnacentral:rRNA from 1 species
CAGCACCCCAAGUGGUCAGGAUGAUUAUUGGGCCUAAAGCAUCCGUAGCCUGUUCUGUAAGUUUCCGGUUAAAUCCAUUAGCUCAACUAAUGGGCUGCCGAAAAUACUGCAGAACUAGGGAGUGGGAGAGGUAGACGGUACUCGGUAGGAAGGGGUAAAAUCCUUUGAUCUAUUGAUGACCACCUGUGGCGAAGGCGGUCUACCAGAACACGUUCGACGGUGAGGGAUGAAAGCUGGGGGAGCAAACCGGAUUAGAUACCCGAGUAGUCC